rnacentral:rRNA from 1 species
CAAGAAGGGAAACUUGCUCUCGGGUGACGAGUGGCGGACGGGUGAGUAAUGUCUGGGAAACUGCCUGAUGGAGGGGGAUAACUACUGGAAACGGUAGCUAAUACCGCAUAACGUCGCAAGACCAAAGAGGGGGACCUUCGGGCCUCUUGCCAUCAGAUGUGCCCAGAUGGGAUUAGCUAGUAGGUGGGGUAACGGCUCACCUAGGCGACGAUCCCUAGCUGGUCUGAGAGGAUGACCAGCCACACUGGAACUGAGACACGGUCCAGACUCCUACGGGAGGCAGCAGUGGGGAAUAUUGCACAAUGGGCGCAAGCCUGAUGCAGCCAUGCCGCGUGUAUGAAGAAGGCCUUCGGGUUGUAAAGUACUUUCAGCGGGGAGGAAGGUGUUGAGGUUA